GUCUCAACUGCACCUGCCCCAAACUGCAUGUAGACAAAAACAGAAGAUGGUUUUGGAAUGCCUCUCCUCAAGAGAGAAAACUGAAAUGAAACAAUGGGAAUUCUUAGAAGUGAUAACAGAAGGACAGAUGUACAUGUGUAAACCUGCUACCCACCCCCCAAAGUGAGGAUUUCCUCAGGGAACCAGGCUCAAAAUGAGAGAAAACAUCCUUAAGAAAACCCCCAGUGUUUUACAUAUCUACAAGAGACUGCAGUGCCUUGACUACAAAAUGGUUGUCUACCUCAAAAGCCAAAGGAUUCCUUAGAGAUUGAAAGGUAUAACAUACAGUGAAGGAAUUUGUAGUAGUUAUCUGGCUCAAUACAACAUUCAAGCAUUUUUUGGCAGAAUGAGCUUUCCUAUUUCUGCUCUAAAAGCCAUCCAAGAGCAGAACAAUCCUUUAGCAAAUGUCAGCAGCAAAAAUAUAUAUUCUGCUUUUUAUUAAGCUAGUCUGUGCUAAUCUGUUUUAGACACUGGUUUCAAAUUCUUUAGCCAGAGUCUUUUUUGUUGUUGAGAAUGGGGUGAUUUGACAUGCCAGCUGCAGAAGUGUCUUUUGCAUACUCAGACAUAGUCUGAAUCUCUGCCAGCACUCAAAGAAGGUCCUGCUGAGACUGUGCUACAGAAAACUGCUUCUGAAGCUGGAGAGCUUCUCUUCCACAGCUCGUACAGAUGGUUAGGGCUCAUCUACUUGACUUGUCAGCACUAGGUACUGUCAGUUGUGCACUCACCUGGAGUUUCCCAAGGAUCAGUAAAGCCUGAUUGACUACCUGGCUCGUGAUUCACAAUAGAAGGAAAAUUCUUGACUAUGUUACCCAAUUACCCUCUCAUUCCCUUAUUUUGAUGUGUGUGCAUUUUUUUAGGGAAAGGGGUUUUCAUGCCAACAGGCACAGUUGGCAGCAGGCUGGAAGCCUCCUCUGCACAGUGCUGGCAGUGAAUUAGCUGAAGAUCACAGCCUCCACCGAGCCAAGGAGGAGUUCAAAGAGACAAGGACUGCACUCCCUGGGAAGCUGGUGUAGAUAAAAAGAUGAGGGGUCAUGUAGUGUUUGUAGUUUAAUAAUUUAAUUCGGGAGAUCUUAGAAAAGUUUGUGAUGUUUCUUUGUCCAAUCCAAGCAAAUUGAUAAUGGGACAUG
rnacentral:lncRNA from 1 species